CCAAGCCUGAUCCAGCCAUUCCGCGUGAGUGAAGAAGGCCUUCGGGUUGUAAAGCUCUUUCGCAAGGGAAGAAAACUUACACAAUAACACUGUGUGAGGCUGACGGUACCUUGAUAAGAAGCACCGGCUAACUACGUGCCAGCAGCCGCGGUAAUACGUAGGGUGCGAGCGUUAAUCGGAAUUACUGGGCGUAAAGCGUGCGCAGGCGGUUUUGUAAGUCAGAUGUGAAAUCCCCGAGCUCAACUUGGGAACUGCGUUUGAAACUACAAGACUAGAAUAUGUCAGAGGGGGGUAGAAUUCCACGUGUAGCAGUGAAAUGCGUAGAGAUGUGGAGGAAUACCAAUGGCGAAGGCAGCCCCCUGGGAUAAUAUUGACGCUCAUGCACGAAAGCGUGGGGAGCAAACAGGAUUAGAUACCCUGGUAGUCCACGCCCUAAACGAUGUCUACUAGUUGUUGGUGGAGUAAAAUCCAUGAGUAACGCAGCUAACGCGUGAAGUAGACCGCCUGGGGAGUACGGUCGCAAGAUUAAAACUCAAAGGA
rnacentral:rRNA from 1 species